rnacentral:rRNA from 1 species
UCCCCGCAGUYCAAGUYGCAACCACAUUUGUUGGGUCUAAAACAUCCGUAGCCAGCUUUGUAAGUCUCCUGUGAAAUCCGGCCUCUCCAGGGUCGAAGUGCGAGAGAUACUGCAAAGCUAGGGACCGGGAGACGUAACGAGUACGUACAGAGUACCGGUAAAAUGGGCUGAUCCUGUAUGGACUACCAACCGCGAAGGCACGUUACGAGCACGGAUCCGACGGUGAGGGAUGAAGGCUAGGGGCGCAAAGUGGAUUAGAUACCCAUGUAGUCCUAGCAGUAAACACUGCACACUGAACAUUGGGGCCUCUUCGAGAGGUCUCAGUGCUGUAGGGAAGCCGGAGAGUGUGCUACCUGGGAAGUAUAGUCGCAAGACCGAAACUUAA